UUAAAAUAAUUGUUCUAAAAUGGUUUGAAUGACAUUUGUUUAUUGCAGGGAUAGAGACAGAUAUGUUCAAGGAGAUUAUCGUUUUAGAUAUGGUUAGUGCAAGCAUAAUCCCCGGAAAAUGGUUACAACCUGGGCUGAAAAGGAAAUGAGAAAUCUUAAACAUUUCUCUGAAGUGGCGGCGGGGAAGCGGCCCUCGAUUGGGGCCAUGGUCCUCUCUCGGCGGGCAAGGAACAACGGCGGCCAGGGACUUGCCCAACUCCCGCACCGGAAUACAUGUAAAAUUUGAAACUUUCAAUAAAUUUAUCAUAUACU